ensembl:lncRNA novel transcript
UGGUCACUCCAGCCUGGCCUUAGACUCUGAGGUGAGUGGUGCCAGGACCUGCCGGUCAGCCUGGAUUCAUCAUAGCCUCUGUUGUCCAGUAGGCUUGGCAAGAAGGGUCUGUGGAAGUUUAUAAAAGUGACACCCCCCAGCCCCCAACCUGGGGAGCAGCCAGGAGCCCUAUGUCAGAAUGUGCGGCCCCUAAUGAAAGUGCUCUUCCAGCCACUCUAUUUAAGCCAGGCCAUUCAGGUGUCUUCGCUCUUUCAUUCAACAACAUCAAGCACCUACUGUGUGCCAGGUGCCGUAUUAAGUGUAGAGGACAGAGUGGUACUAAAAGACAACACAGUCCUUGCUGCCAAGGAGCCAACAGUUAUAAUGACAGCAACACACACCAGUUCAGGUCUAUGUCCCUGUAAUAAGAACUGAGGCUUCCUGGGUGCCUUGCACUGCAGCCAGCCACGUUCCAGGGAGCGGCAGCUCCUCGAACCAGAAGUUCUGAGAUUGAAUCCUGGGACUGUAACCUGGUAACUGCACUAGACAAAUCUGGUUCAACUUUUAUGUAACAAAGUUGUGAGUUGUUUUCAGUUGCCAUGAACCCCCAGGUUGAAGGUCACAUAACCUGGGCAUGCCCAGACACACCAAGCAUGCAGCCAGGGACGGAACCUAAGUGCUCGAGCCAGGAUGCGGGGACUGAAUUAAGAAGUGGACACUGCAUGGCAGGAUCCAGGAUCCAAUCAGAUUGAGCCCUGGCGUCACCCCAUGGCAGGAUCUAAUCAGAUCACACCUCCUGGCAUCACCUGAUGGGAACAGCCAAUCAGAUCACACCUCAUUAUCCUAUGCUUAUAAAACCUGACCUAGCCCCCAGCCGGGAGACAGAUUUGAGUGUUUCCUCCUGUCUCCUUGCCACUCACAGUAAACCUUUCUCGCUGCAAAAACGCAGUGCCUUGGUGUUUGGCUUUCUGCUGCAUGUGGGCAAUAGACCCAGUUCGGUUCAGUGACUGACCUAGUUGGCAGUGAGCUCAGCACAUGACGCAGUGGCUCAGGACUCCACUCAGCAAGUUCCCUGGGACUGCAUCCCUUUAUUGUCCCAUUUUCCAGGGAGGAAACCAAGGCUCACCAUGGCGAAGGGGAUGCCCGUGGUCACAGCGAGUGAGUGGAGGAGCGAGAUCUCUAACCCAGGCGUGUGGCAUACUCGACCCUGAGCACCAAAACAUGCUUGCUAGAACCAUGACAACAACGUCAACAACGACAAAUAACAGUGACUGGGUGUUUGCCGUGUGCCAGGCAUUGUUCUAAGUGCUCCGUGGGAACUACGCUGACCACCCCAUGAAGGAAGUGCUCUUUCAGAUCCCAUUUUGCAAAUGAGGAAACCGAGGCUAGCAAGCAGUCAGACUGGAAUGGGAGCCCAGGAGGCCUGCCUGCAGGAGCCGAGAGCUCACCACUGCACCAUGCAUUUCAUUCAUUAUCCUAUGCUUAGUGUUUAGUGUUUAUCCUACGUUUAGAUGUUUAGUGGACCGUUCUGUCCUCUGACCCCAGCCGACAAGCUCUCCUAGGUUCUGGUGGUGAGAGUUACAUUGGUUUCUAUGAUGUGUAACAAAUUAUCACAAACUUAGUGGCUUCAACAACA